AUGCAUUUCGAAGACCAUGAGUUCGAGGUGGACGAGGAUGGUGAGGGCAUUGUCGACGCGCCGAAAGGAAGAGCGGGCAAUUACACCAACGCCGAUGACAUCUUACUAUGCAAUACUUGGUUGCAAGUGUCGAGGGAUCCAUCUGUUGGAGGUGAUCAAAGUAGAGAUGCUUAUUGGGGGCGGAUGAAAGAACACUUUGAUGUUCACAAUGUGGGUGGAAUUGACCGCUCCGAGAGAUCACUUCAGUCCCGGUGGUCAACAAUCAACUCGGAUUGUCAAAGGUGGGCGGCCUGUCAAAAGGCGGUUGACAAGUUGAACCCAAGUGGCACAAAUGAGGACGAUAGAAACUUGUUCAAAGAAGAGGAGGAAAACCAAGAAGGGGAAGAUCAAGAAAGGAAGGGUCUUUACCUUGCCUCAUUGCUAUAA
rnacentral:rRNA from 1 species